GAUUAACGCUAGCGGCAGGCCUAAUACAUGCAAGUCGAACGGCAGCGGGUGUAGCAAUACAUGCCGGCGAGUGGCGCACGGGUGCGUAACGCGUAUGCAACUUACCUAUAACUGGGGAAUAGCUCUCGGAAACGGGAAUUAAUACCGCAUAAUAUCACGAUUUGGCAUCAUAUUGUGAUCAAAACUCCGGUGGUUAUAGAUAGGCAUGCGUGACAUUAGCUAGUUGGUGAGGUAACGGCUCACCAAGGCUACGAUGUCUAGGGGGUCUGAGAGGAUGAUCCCCCACACUGGUACUGAGACACGGUCCAGACUCCUACGGGAGGCAGCAGUGGGGAAUUUUGGACAAUGGACGCAAGUCUGAUCCAGCCAUUCCGCGUGCAGGAUGAAGGCCCUCGGGUUGUAAACUGCUUUUGUACGGAACGAAAAGGUCUCUCUUAAUACGGGGGGCUCAUGACGGUACCGUAAGAAUAAGCACCGGCUAACUACGUGCCAGCCGCCGCCGUAA
rnacentral:rRNA from 1 species